rnacentral:rRNA from 1 species
CUUCCAGGAAAAGCUCCUAAGCUUCAGCUUACGCAGACCGUACCGUAAACCGACACAGGUGGGUAGGAUGAGAAUUCUCAGGCGCUUGAGAGAACUCGGGUGAAGGAACUAGGCAACAUGGCACCGUAACUUCGGGAGAAGGUGCACCCUUUUUGGUGGCUCGUGCGAGCUAUAGCUGAAGAGGGUCGCAGUAACCAGGCCGCUGCGACUGUUUAUCAAAAACACAGCACUCUGCAAACACGAAAGUGGACGUAUAGGGUGUGACGCCUGCCCGGUGCUGGAAGGUUAAUUGAUGGGGUCAGCCGCAAGGCGAAGCUCUUGAUCGAAGCCCCAGUAAACGGCGGCCGUAACUAUAACGGUCCUAAGGUAGCGAAAUUCCUUGUCGGGUAAGUUCCGACCUGCACGAAUGGCGUAACGACAGCGGCGCUGUCUCCACCCGAGACUCAGUGAAAUUGAAAUCGCUGUGAAGAUGCAGCGUUCCCGUGGCAAGACGGAAAGACCCCGUGAACCUUUACUAUAGCUUUACACUGAACGUUGAGUUCGUCUGUGUAGG